rnacentral:rRNA from 1 species
UUCCAGACUCCUACGGGAGGCAGCAGUGGGGAAUAUUGGGCAAUGGGCGCAAGCCUGACCCAGCAACGCCGCGUGAAGGAAGAAGGCUUUCGGGUUGUAAACUUCUUUUCUCGGGGACGAAGAAAGUGACGGUACCUGAGGAAUAAGCCACGGCUAACUACGUGCCAGCAGCCGCGGUAAUACGGAGGAUGCGAGCGUUAUCCGGAUUUAUUGGGUUUAAAGGGUGCGUAGGCGGGCUUUUAAGUCAGCGGUAAAAAUUCGGGGCUCAACCCCGUCCGGCCGUUGAAACUGGGGGCCUUGAGUGGGCGAGAAGAAGGCGGAAUGCGUGGUGUAGCGGUGAAAUGCAUAGAUAUCGCGCAGAACCCCGAUUGCGAAGGCAGCCUUCCGGCGCCCUACUGACGCUGAGGCACGAAAGUGCGGGGAUCGAACAGGAUUAGAUACCCGUGUAAG